rnacentral:rRNA from 1 species
AUAUUAAUAAGCGCAGGAAAAGAAACUAACCAGGAUUCCCCCAGUAAAUGCGAUUGAAAAGGGAAAAGCUCAGACUGAAUCUGGUACCUUUGGUACCCGAAAUGUAGUCUUUGGAUUCGUCUUCCGAACUGAUGUGAUUACCAAGUCAACUGGAAUGUUGCGCCACAGAGGGUGAUAGCCCCGUAGGUUUUCGAAUUCGGUUCAUUCGUGUUGAUGAGUCUUAGAGUCGGACUAUUUGGGAGUAUAGUCCUAAGUGGGAGGUAAAUUCCUUCUAAAGCUAAAUACCUGGGAGAGACCGAUAGCGCACAAGUA